CAUAAAUAGGGCACACCCGUGACUCCAAGUCCUUAUCGUCUCACCACUCUCUCCCAUUGCAACAUGGUAAGGCUACUUUUCACCCUUUUUUGCGGGUAGGCUACUUUUUCACAUUGACGCCUUCCUUCCUCUUCCACAGUGAUCAUUGCGCCUCUACCCAUCUUCAUCUUCCGCCUCCUCGCCAUCUCACUCAUCGAUGUGGUGGAGCGUAGUAGGAUUAUCGAAGGAAGAACAAAGGUGGGGACGUUGUUGAGCAACAAAAUUGAUAAGAAGUUACAUAGGGAGCUUGGAUGGAUGCAUGAUGCCGUGGUGGGAGUAGGAGGGAGAAGCGACAAGGAGCACCGGGAUCUCUGACAGCCCCGGGAUAUACAACUCCUCCGGCCCUGCGCCGAUCCCGAGGAGUGCUGCGCGAAUUAUGAUUGCUGAACAUGCCCCUUGUGCUGCGCAGUUUAACUAACUACUCCUCCUCCUAACUAAUAAAGCUGUCACAGCGAGCAGGCAGGCCAAUCAUUUAUUCAAUGUACUGUGCUCGCCCGUGGAAGAUUCUGCCCGUAAGUGGGAGCAUUUUAGGCAGAGAAAGAAACGUAAUAAGUCA